AUUGAACGCUGGCGGUAGGCCUAACACAUGCAAGUCGUGCGCGAAAGUCCUUCGGGAUGAGUAGAGUGGCGGACGGGUGAGUAACGCGUAGGAAUCUAUCCUGUGGUGGGGGAUAACGUUUCGAAAGGAACGCUAAUACCGCAUACGCCCCAAGGGGGAAAGCGGGGGAUCUUCGGACCUCGUGCUAUAGGAGGAGCCUGCGUCGGAUUAGCUAGUUGGUGAGGUAAAGGCUCACCAAGGCGACGAUGCGUAGCUGGUCUGAGAGGAUGAUCAGCCACACCGGAACUGAGACACGGUCCGGACUCCUACGGGAGGCAGCAGUGGGGAAUAUUGCGCAAUGGGCGAAAGCCUGACGCAGCCAUACCGCGUGUGUGAAGAAGGCCUUCGGGUUGUAAAGCACUUUCAGUGGGGAGGAAAAGCUGGUGGCUAAUAUCCAUCGGCCGUGACGCUACCCACAGAAGAAGCACCGGCUAAUUCCGUGCCAGCCGCCGCCGUAACAC
rnacentral:rRNA from 1 species